GCUGUGAAGUUGGGGGUGGUGAGAGGAGGGGCUGUGAAGUUGGGGGUGGUGAGAGGAGGGGCUGUGAAGUUGGGGGUGGUGAGAGGAGGGGCUGUGAAGUUGGGGGUGGUGAGAGGAGGGGCUGUGAAGUUGGGGGUGGUGAGAGGAGGGGCUGUGAAGUUGGGGGUGGUGAGAGGAGGGGCUGUGAAGUUGGGGGUGGUGAGAGGAGGGGCUGUGAAGAGGGAGGUGGUGAGAGGAGGGGCUGUGAAGUUGGAGGUGGUGAGAGGAGGGGCUGUGAAGAGGGAGGUGGUGAGAGGGGCUGUGAAGUUGGGGGUGGUGAGAGGAGGGGCUGUGAAGAGGGAGGUGGUGAGAGGAGGGGCUGUGAAGUUGGGGGUGGUGAGAGGAGGGGCUGUGAAGUUGGGGGUGGUGAGAGGAGGGGCUGUGAAGUUGGGGGUGGUGAGAGGAGGGGCUGUGAAGAGGGAGGUGGUGAGAGGAGGGGCUGUGAAGAGGGAGGUGGUGAGAGGAGGGGCUGUGAAGUUGGGGGUGGUGAG